GUUUUUGGUUGUGGUCAUGGAUGACUUUGUUUGUGACAAACUAAGUCAGUGGGGUCUGAGUGAGCUCAUAGAAAAAUUUAGAGAUGAAGGGAAUGACUCUGAAAGUCUUUAUUGUCUUGGGAAUGAAGACAUUAAUGAGUUGAUUCCAAAAAUGGGACCAAGGUCAAAGUUUAAAAACGGACUCAGUCAGUUGAAGGGUCAACAGAGGGCAGAAGAAGCUGCUAGUACAUCUAAG